rnacentral:rRNA from 1 species
GACGAAGGGGGCUAGCGUUGUUCGGAAUUACUGGGCGUAAAGCGAGUGUAGGUGGUUGUCCAAGUUGGAUGUGAAAGCCUUGAGCUCAACUCAAGAAAUGCAUUUAGGACUGGGCGACUAGAGGACCGGAGAGGAUAGUGGAAUUCCCAGUGUAGUGGUGAAAUACGUAGAGAUUGGGAAGAACACCAGUGGCGAAGGCGGCUAUCUGGACGGUUUCUGACACUAAGACUCGAAAGCGUGGGGAGCAAACAGG